rnacentral:rRNA from 1 species
AGAUUGAACGCUGGCGGCGUGCCUAACACAUGCAAGUCGAGCGGUAACAGGUGUAGCAAUACAUGCUGACGAGCGGCGAACGGGUGAGUAAUGCUUUGGAAUCUUCCCAGUAGUGGGGAACAACCAGUCGAAAGAUUGGCUAAUACCGCAUACGUCUGUGAAGAGAAAGCGGGGGCUCGUAAGACCUCGCGCUAUUGGAUGAGCCAAAGUCGGAUUAGCUAGUUGGUGGGGUAAUGGCCUACCAAGGCGACAAUCCGUAGCUGGUCUGAGAGGACGACCAGCCACACCGGAACUGAGACACGGUCCGGACUCCUACGGGAGGCAGCAGUGGGGAAUAUUGGACAAUGGGGAAACCCUGAUCCAGCGACGCCGCGUGUGUGAAGAAGGCCUGCGGGUUGUAAAGCACUUUCAGCAGGGACGAAGCGAAAGUGACGGUACCUGCAGAAGAAGCGCCGGCUAACACGCGCCAGCAGCCGC